GACGAACGCUGGCGGCGUGCCUAACACAUGCAAGUCGAACGGGGUUACCCUUCGGGGUAACUUAGUGGCGAACGGGUGAGUAACGCGUGAGAAACCUGCCUCUCAGUGGGGGACAACAGUUGGAAACGACUGCUAAUACCGCAUAACACUUUAGUACCGCAUGGUACGGAAGUCAAAGCUUUAUGUGCUGAGAGAUGGUCUCGCGUUUGAUUAGCUAGUUGGCGGGGUAACGGCCCACCAAGGCGACGAUCAGUAGCCGGUCUGAGAGGAUGAACGGCCACAUUGGGACUGAGAUACGGCCCAGACUCCUACGGGAGGCAGCAGUGGGGAAUAUUGGGCAAUGGGGGAAACCCUGACCCAGCAACGCCGCGUGAAGGACGAAAGGCCUUCGGUUGUAACUCUUUAGUAGGACGAAGAACGUAGACGGUACCUACAGAAAAGACAACGGACUAACUAACGUGCCAGCAGCCGCGGUAA
rnacentral:rRNA from 1 species